GACGAACGCUGGCGGCGUGCUUAAUACAUGCAAGUCAACUUGACUUUAGAUAGCAAUAUCGAAAAGUAGGGUGGCGCACGGGUGCGUAACGCGUAGGUAAUCUGCCCUGAGGUCUGACAUAACCCGUCGAAAGGCGGGCUAACAUCAGAUGAUAUAUAAUCACGACAUCGUGGAAAUAUCAAAUCUUCGGAGCCUUGGGAUGAGCCUGCGUCUGAUUAGGUAGUUGGCGGAGUAAUAGCCCACCAAGCCUACGAUCAGUAGCUGGUCUGAGAGGAUGAUCAGCCACACUGGAACUGAGACACGGUCCAGACUCCUACGGGAGGCAGCAGUAAGGAAUAUUGCUCAAUGGGGGAACCCCUGAAGCAGCAACGCCGCGU
rnacentral:rRNA from 1 species